rfam:Fomitopsis pinicola FP-58527 SS1 unplaced genomic scaffold FOMPIscaffold_13, whole genome shotgun sequence.
GGCCUUAUAGCUCAGCGGUUUAGAGCAUUCGAUUGCAGUCAAAGCCUUCAAAGUAGUGUCAUCGAAGGGUCCCGUGUUCGAGUCACGGUGAGGCCU